UACGUAGGGGGCGAGCGUUGUCCGGAAUUAUUGGGCGUAAAGAGCUCGUAGGCGGUCUGUCACGUCGGAUGUGAAAACUCGGGGCUCAACCCCGAGCCUGCAUUCGAUACGGGCAGACUAGAGUUCGGUAGGGGAGACUGGAAUUCCUGGUGUAGCGGUGAAAUGCGCAGAUAUCAGGAGGAACACCGGUGGCGAAGGCGGGUCUCUGGGCCGAUACUGACGCUGAGGCGCGAAAGCUAGGGGAGCAAACGGG
rnacentral:rRNA from 1 species